rnacentral:rRNA from 1 species
GGUGAAGGAUUUACUCCGUAAGCUCUGGCUGGUCGAAGAUACCAGGCCGCUGCGACUGUUUAUUAAAAACACAGCACUCUGCAAACACGAAAGUGGACGUAUAGGGUGUGACGCCUGCCCGGUGCCGGAAGGUUAAUUGAUGGGGUUAGCGCAAGCGAAGCUCUUGAUCGAAGCCCCGGUAAACGGCGGCCGUAACUAUAACGGUCCUAAGGUAGCGAAAUUCCUUGUCGGGUAAGUUCCGACCUGCACGAAUGGCGUAACGAUGGCGGCGCUGUCUCCACCCGAGACUCAGUGAAAUUGAAAUCGCUGUGAAGAUGCAGUGUAUCCGCGGCUAGACGGAAAGACCCCGUGAACCUUUACUGUAGCUUUGCACUGGACUUUGAGCCUGCUUGUGUAGGAUAGGUGGGAGGCUUUGAAGCGUGGACGCCAGUUCGCGUGGAGCCAUCCUUGAAAUACCACCCUGGCAUGCUUGAGGUUCUAACUCUGGUCCGUGAUCCGGAUCGAGGACAGUGUAUGGUGGGCAGUUUGACUGGGGCGGUCUCCUCCUAAAGAGUAACGGAGGAGUACGAAGGUGCGCUCAGACCGGUCGGAAAUCGGUCGUAGAGUAUAAAGGCAAAAGCGCGCUUGACUGCGAGACAGACACGUCGAGCAGGUACGAAAGUAGGUCUUAGUGAUCCGGUGGUUCUGUAUGGAAGGGCCAUCGCUCAACGGAUAAAAGGUACUCCGGGGAUAACAGGCUGAUACCGCCCAAGAGUUCAUAUCGACGGCGGUGUUUGGCACCUCGAUGUCGGCUCAUCACAUCCUGGGGCUGAAGCCGGUCCCAAGGGUAUGGCUGUUCGCCAUUUAAAGUGGUACGCGAGCUGGGUUUAGAACGUCGUGAGACAGUUCGGUCCCUAUCUGCCGUGGACGUUUGAGAUUUGAGAGGGGCUGCUCCUAGUACGAGAGGACCGGAGUGGACGAACCUCUGGUGUUCCGGUUGUCACGCCAGUGGCAUUGCCGGGUAGCUAUGUUCGGAAAAGAUAACCGCUGAAAGCAUCUAAGCGGGAAACUUGCCUCAAGAUGAGAUCUCACUGGGAACUUGAUUCCCCUGAAGGGCCGUCGAAGACUACGACGUUGAUAGGCUGGGUGUGUAAGCGUUGUGAGGCGUUGAGCUAACCAGUACUAAUUGCCCGUGAGGCUUGACCAU